GCAUAAGCAUAACACUAAAACUCACAAUAAUAUUAUUUUUAAGUUGGGUAAAAUAUUAAUUCCCUAAAAACU
rnacentral:tRNA from 1 species